rnacentral:rRNA from 2 species
AAAGGGGGCUCAGCGGGCAGAUUUUCUCCUCCGACAUCAUACACUUUCACGGGAGAUGGGAUAUGACCCCGUCAUUUUCAGUUGGUUUUGUUUACAGCGAGGUUAUAUCAGGGUAAUGAUUAAUAGGGAUAGUUGGGGGCAUUAAUAUUUAAUUGUCAGAGGUGAAAUUCUUGGAUUUAUGAAAGAUUAACUUCUGCGAAAGCGUUUGCCAAGGAUGUUUUUUUAUUAAUCAACAACGAUUGUGGGGGGAACGAAGACUAUAUAAUACCGUCGUCUUCUUAACCAUCAACGACGCCCACCAAUGGUGAGAAGACGUUUAAGACAAAACCGCUGUUAAUCCUUUCGGGGGUUAAUAGUUGGUGAAUGGACUCCCCUGACUCCUUGAGAAAAUUGUGAGAA